GCACCAACACUGUGGUUCAUAAAUUGUACAUGUGACAUGGGGUAUGAGGGCAAUGGUAUCAACUGUACAGAAAUCAAUGCAUGUCAAACAAAUCCUUGUGAUGUAAAUGCAAAUUGUACCAAUAUCGAUGGUUCGUACAAUUGUACUUGUCACAUGGGCUAUGAAGGCAAUGGUUAUAACUGUACAGAUAUAAAUGAAUGUCAAACAAAUCCUUGUGAUGUAAAUGCAA